rnacentral:rRNA from 1 species
UGAGGAAUCUUCGGCAAUGGGGGCAACCCUGACCGAGCGACGCCGCGUGCGGGAAGACGGCCUUCGGGUUGUAAACCGCUUUUCUGGGGGACGAGAAACGGACGGUACCCCAGGAAGAAGCCUCGGCUAACUACGUGCCAGCAGCCGCGGUAAUACGUAGGAGGCGAGCGUUGUCCGGAGUUACUGGGCGUAAAGGGUGCGCAGGCGGCGUUCCGCGUGGCGAGAUGAAAUCUCCUGGCUUACCUGGGAGGAUGGUCGCCAGACGGGAGCGCUUGAGGGUCGGAGAGGGGCGUGGAAUUCCGGGUGGAGCGGUGAAAUGCGUAGAGAUCCGGAGGAACACCGACGGCGUAGGCAGCGCCCUGGACGACACCUGACGCUGAGGCACGAAAGCUGGGGGAGCGAACAGGAUUAGAUACCCCCGUAGUCC